rnacentral:rRNA from 1 species
GACGUAGGGUGCAAGCGUUGUCCGGAUUUAUUGGGCGUAAAGAGUUCGUAGGUGGUAAUUUAAGUCUAAUGUUAAAUCGAAGGGCUCAACCCUUCACUCGCAUUGGAAACUAAGUUACUAGAGUUAGGUAGGGGUUAGAAGAAUUCCUGGUGUAGCGGUGAAAUGCGUAGAUAUCAGGAGGAAUACCGGUGGCGAAAGCGUCUAACUGGGCCUAUACUGACACUGAGGAACGAGAGCUAGGGGAGCAAAAGGG